UGAGUUUGAUCCUGGCUCAGAUUGAACGCUGGCGGAAUGCUUUACACAUGCAAGUCGAACGGCAGCACGGGAGCUUGCUCCUGGUGGCGAGUGGCGAACGGGCGAGUAAUGCGUCGGAACGUACCGAGUAAUGGGGGAUAACGCAGCGAAAGUUGUGCUAAUACCGCAUACGCCCUGAGGGGGAAAGUGGGGGAUCGUAAGACCUCACGUUAUUCGAGCGGCCGACGUCUGAUUAGCUAGUUGGUGGGGUAAAGGCCUACCAAGGCGACGAUCAGUAGCGGGUCUGAGAGGAUGAUCCGCCACACUGGGACUGAGACACGGCCCAGACUCCUACGGGAGGCAGCAGUGGGGAAUUUUGGACAAUGGGGGCAACCCUGAUCCAGCCAUUCCGCGUGAGUGAAGAAGGCCUUCGGGUUGUAAAGCUCUUUCAGCUGGAACGAAACGGUACGGCGCUAACAUCGUGUGCUAAUGACGGUACCAGCAGAAGAAGCACCGGCUAACUACGUGCCAGCAGCCGCGGUAAUACGUAGGGUGCGAGCGUUAAUCGGAAUUACUGGGCGUAAAGCGUGCGCAGGCGGACUGUUAAGCAAGAUGUGAAAUCCCCGGGCUUAACCUGGGAAUGGCAUUUUGAACUGGCAGUCUAGAGUGCGUCAGAGGGGGGUGGAAUUCCACGUGUAGCAGUGAAAUGCGUAGAGAUGUGGAGGAACACCGAUGGCGAAGGCAGCCCCCUGGGAUGACACUGACGCUCAUGUACGAAAGCGUGGGUAGCAAACAGGAUUAGAUACCCUGGUAGUCCACGCCCUAAACGAUGUCAACUGGUUGUUGGGGGAGUGAAAUCCCUUAGUAACGAAGCUAACGCGUGAAGUUGACCGCCUGGGGAGUACGGUCGCAAGAUUAAAACUCAAAGGAAUUGACGGGGACCCGCACAAGCGGUGGAUGAUGUGGAUUAAUUCGAUGCAACGCGAAAAACCUUACCUACCCUUGACAUGUCCGGAAUCCUGCAGAGAUGCGGGAGUGCCCGAAAGGGAAUCGGAACACAGGUGCUGCAUGGCUGUCGUCAGCUCGUGUCGUGAGAUGUUGGGUUAAGUCCCGCAACGAGCGCAACCCUUAUCAUUAGUUGCUACGCAAGGGCACUCUAAUGAGACUGCCGGUGACAAACCGGAGGAAGGUGGGGAUGACGUCAAGUCCUCAUGGCCCUUAUGGGUAGGGCUUCACACGUGCUACAAUGGCGGUGACAAUGGGACGCGAAAGGGCGACCUGGAGCAAAUCUCAAAAAACCGUCUCAGUUCGGAUUGCACUCUGCAACUCGAGUGCAUGAAGGUGGAAUCGCUAGUAAUCGCAGAUCAGCACGCUGCGGUGAAUACGUUCCCGGGCCCUGUACACACCGCCCGUCACACCAUGGGAGUUGGUUUUACCCGAAGGCGUUUCGCCAACCGCAAGGAGGCAGGCGACCACGGUAGGGUCAGCGACUGGGGUGAAGUCGUAACAAGGUAGCCGUAGGGGAACCUGCGGCUGGAUCACCUCCUUUCU
rnacentral:rRNA from 1 species